rnacentral:ncRNA from 1 species
CUACGAACUUGAUUGUAUUGACCCUUGGUAUGGAAAGCUGCUAAGUGGUAACUUCCAAAUCCAGAGAAACCCUAGAAUUAAAAAAGGCCAAAUCAUUGUUUUGAGAAAACAAGGGGUUCUCGAACGAGAAUACAAAGGAAAAGGAUAGGUGCAGAGACUCAAUGGAAGUUGUUCUAAUGAAUCAAGUUAAUUACGUUGUGUUGUUAGUGGAAUUCCUUCUAAUUCUAAAUUAGAGAAAGAGGGG